UACGUAGGGUGCAAGCGUUGUCCGGAAUUAUUGGGCGUAAAGAGCUCGUAGGCGGUUUGUUGCGUCGGCUGUGAAAUCCCGAGGCUCAACCUCGGGUCUGCAGUCGAUACGAGCAAACUAGAGUGUUGCAGGGGAGACUGGAAUUCCUGGUGUAGCGGUGAAAUGCGCAGAUAUCAGGAGGAACACCAAUUGCGAAGGCAGCUCGCUGGAACGUAACUGACGCUGAGACGCGAAAGCGUGGGGAGCAAACAGG
rnacentral:rRNA from 1 species